rfam:Camelus ferus unplaced genomic scaffold scaffold1982, whole genome shotgun sequence.
GAGGGUGUAGCUCAAGUGAUAGAGCACAUGCUUAGCAAGCAGGAGGUUCUGGGUUCGAUCCCCAGUACCUCCU